rnacentral:rRNA from 1 species
AUUAUACCGCGAAACUGCGAAUGGCUCAUUAUAUAAGUUAUCGUUUAUUUGAUAGUACCUUACUACUUGGAUAACCGUGGUAAUUCUAGAGCUAAUACAUGCUAAAAAUCCCGACUUCGGAAGGGAUGUAUUUAUUAGAUUAAAAACCAAUGCCCUUCGGGGCUCACUGGUGAUUCAUGAUAACUCCUCGAAUCGCAUGGCCUUGUGCCGGCGAUGGUUCAUUCAAAUUUCUUCCCUAUCAACUUUCGAUGUUUGGGUAUUGGCCAAACAUGGUUGCAACGGGUAACGGAGGGUUAGGGCUCGACCCCGGAGAAGGAGCCUGAGAAACGGCUACUACAUCCAAGGAAGGCAGCAGGCGCGCAAAUUACCCAAUCCCGACACGGGGAGGUAGUGACAAUAAAUACUGAUACAGGGCUCUUUUGGGUCUUGUAAUUGGAAUGAGUACAAUUUAAAUCCCUUAACGAGGAACAAUUGGAGGGCAAGUCUGGUGCCAGCAGCCGCGGUAAUUCCAGCUCCAAUAGCGUAUAUUAAAGUUGUUGUGGUUAAAAAGCUCGUAGUUGAACCUUGGGCCUGGCCGUCCGGUCCGCCUCACCGCGUGUACUGGCUCGGCCGGGCCUUUCCCUCUGUGGAACCCCAUGCCCUUCACUGGGCGUGGCGGGGAAACAGGACUUUUACUGUGAAAAAAUUAGAGUGCUCCAGGCAGGCCUAUGCUCGAAUACAUUAGCAUGGAAUAAUAGAAUAGGACGUGUGGUUCUAUUUUGUUGGUUUCUAGGACCGCCGUAAUGAUUAAUAGGGACAGUCGGGGGCAUCAGUAUUCAAUUGUCAGAGGUGAAAUUCUUGGAUUUAUUGAAGACUAACUACUGCGAAAGCAUUUGCCAAGGAUGUUUUCAUUAAUCAGGAACGAAAGUUAGGGGAUCGAAGACGAUCAGAUACCGUCGUAGUCUUAACCAUAAACUAUGCCGACUAGGGAUCGGACGGUGUUAUUUUUUGACCCGUUCGGCACCUUACGAGAAAUCAAAGUGCUUGGGCUC